GGGUGGGUAGCGUAGCGGUAACGCACCGGACUGUAAAUCCGGCGCCUAACGGCAUCGCUGGUUCGAAUCCAGCCCCACCCA
rnacentral:tRNA from 1 species